GAUGAAGAACGCAGCGAAAUGCGAUAAGUAAUGUGAAUUGCAGAAUUCAGUGAAUCAUCGAAUCUUUGAACGCACCUUGCGCCCUUUGGCCAUUCCGAAGGGCAUGCCUGUUUGAGUAUCAUGAACACCUCAACUCUUCAUGGUUUUCCAUGAUGAGCUUGGACUUUGGGGGUCUUGCUGGCCUGUGGGUCGGCUCCUCUCAAAUGAAUCAGCUUGCCGGUUUUUGGUGGGCAUCACAGGUGUGAUAACUAUCUACGCUUGUGGUUUUCCACCAGGGUAACCUUCAGCAGUGGAGGUUCACUGGAGCUUACAAAUGUCUCUCCUCUGUGAGGACAGCCCUUUGAAUGUUUGAUCUCAAAUCAGGUAGGACUACCCGCUGAACUUAAGAAUAUCAAUAAGCGGAGGA
rnacentral:misc_RNA from 1 species